CUUUUCCUCUUAGUAAAUUGGCUGGUACGGUGGGCAAAGGUGGUCACAUGGUUAGGAAAUCGUUACAGGAAGCGCUCACUUCCAUCAAUCUAUACCCUAAAGAGCUCAGUGGAAGCCUGAAAUGAAGUACAGCUAAAUUAGAUGAAGAGCCAUCAAUGGUCACCGUGAUGAAAACCCUUCUGCUAAUUCCCCCCAGCAUGAUUUCCGUGCUCUCCUCAGAUGCUUGUGAUGCUCCCACUGUUCCCCACUUGGUGCCAAACUCAGCAGUCCAACAUGGCAAGCACAAGCUGUUAUACAUCUUCCCACACAGUGUCAGCAAGUAAUUAAAUUAAAACAAAUAAUCCUCAAACACCUUUCCUGAUGUGU